rnacentral:rRNA from 1 species
GAGGAAGAGACGGCUAACUCUGUGCCAGCAGCCGCGGUAAUACAGAGGUCUCAAGCGUUGUUCGGAAUCACUGGGCGUAAAGGGUGCGUAGGCUGCGGCGUAAGUCAGAUGUGAAAUCCCGGGGCUCAACCUCGGAAUUGCAUCCGAUACUGCGUCGCUUGAGGACUGGAGAGGAGUCUGGAAUUCAUGGUGGAGCAGUGAAAUGCGUAGAUAUCAUGAGGAACGCUAGUGGCGUAGGCGAGACUCUGGACAGUUCCUGACGCUGAGGCACGAAGGCCAGGGGAGCAAACGGGAUUAGAUACCCCGGUAGUCCUGGCAGUAAACGGUGCACGUUUGGUGUGGGAGGAAUCGACCCCUUCCGUGCCGGAGCUAACGCGUUAAACGUGCCGCCUGGGAAGUACGGUCGCAAGAUUAAAACUCAAAGAAAUUGACGGGGA